UACGGAGGAUCCAAGCGUUAUCCGGAUUUAUUGGGUUUAAAGGGUGCGUAGGCGGGGAAUUAAGUCAGUGGUGAAAGUUUGCAGCUCAACUGUAAAAUUGCCAUUGAAACUGAUUUUCUUGAGUGUAAAUGAGGUAGGCGGAAUGUGUUGUGUAGCGGUGAAAUGCUUAGAUAUAACACAGAACACCGAUUGCGAAGGCAGCUUACUGGGAUACAACUGACGCUGAUGCACGAAAGCGUGGGGAUCAAACAGG
rnacentral:rRNA from 1 species